rnacentral:rRNA from 1 species
AGCAGCCGCGGUAAUUCCAGCUCCAAUAGCGUAUAUUAAAGUUGUUGCAGUUAAAAAGCUCGUAGUUGAACUUCAGGCCUGGCUGGGCGGUCCGCCUUCCGGGUGAGUACUGCCUGUGGUCGGGUCCUACCUUCUGGCGAAGCGUCAUGGCCUUAACCGGCCGUGGCGGGGAAGCAGGACUUUUACUGUGAAAAAAUUAGAGUGUUCAAAGCAGGCACGCGCUUGAAUACAUUAGCAUGGAAUAAUGGAAUAGGACAGUGGUUCUAUUUGUUGGUUUCUAGGACCGUUGUAAUGAUUAAUAGGGAUAGUUGGGGGCAUUAGUAUUCAAUUGUCAGAGGUGAAAUUCUUGGAUUUAUUGAAGACUAACUACUGCGAAAGCAUUUGCCAAGGAUGUUUUCAUUAAUCAAGAACGAAAGUUAGGGGAUCGAAGACGAUCAGAUACCGUCGUAGUCUUAACCAUAAACUAUGCCGACUAGGAAUCGGGCGAUGUUGACAAAAUGACGCGCUCGGCACCU